UUCCUACGGGGCGCAGCAGUGGGGAAUAUUGCACAAUGGGGGAAACCCUGAUGCAGCAACGCCGCGUGAGUGAAGAAGUAUCUCGGUAUGUAAAGCUCUAUCAGCAGGGAAGAAAAUGACGGUACCUGACUAAGAAGCCCCGGCUAACUACGUGCCAGCAGCCGCGGUAAUACGUAGGGGGCGAGCGUUAUCCGGAUUUACUGGGUAUAAAGGGAGCGUAGACGGCAGCGCAAGUCUGGAGUGAAAGCCCGUGGCUCAACCGCGGAACUGCUUUGGAAACUGUUAAGCUGGAGUACUGGAGAGGC
rnacentral:rRNA from 1 species